AUUCUAUUAGUAUAAGUAGUAUGAUUGUUUUCCAAGCAAGAGGUUUAAUUUGAUUUUGUUAAAUAGAAUA
rnacentral:tRNA from 1 species